AACGAACGCUGGCGGCAGGCCUAACACAUGCAAGUCGAGCGGACCUUUCGGGGUCAGCGGCGGACGGGUGAGUAACACGUGGAUAACCUACCUAUAAGACUGGGAUAACUUCGGGAAACCGGAGCUAAUACCGGAUAACAUGUUGAACCGCAUGGUUCAACAGUGAAAGACGGUCUUGCUGUCACUUAUAGAUGGAUCCGCGCCGCAUUAGCUAGUUGGUAAGGUAACGGCUUACCAAGGCAACGAUGCGUAGCCGACCUGAGAGGGUGAUCGGCCACACUGGAACUGAGACACGGUCCAGACUCCUACGGGAGGCAGCAGUAGGGAAUCUUCCGCAAUGGGCGAAAGCCUGACGGAGCAACGCCGCGUGAGUGAAGAAGGUCUUCGGAUCGUAAAACUCUGUUAUUAGGGAAGAACAAAUGUGUAAGUAACUAUGCACGUCUUGACGGUACCUAAUCAGAAAGCCACGGCUAACUACGUG
rnacentral:rRNA from 1 species